AAGAUCCUCUCUUUCUUCUUCCCCAAGACCCCUCUCCCCUGCCUUGCUUCGCUCCGCUCCGCUCCAUUCGCCCCCGCCCUCAGGGCUUCUGAAACCCUACCCGCCCCGCCACCUCGUGAUGCCCCCGCGGCCGUCCCUCCACUCGCUACUCCUCAUGGCCGCCUCCGCCGCCGCCGCCGGCGGCGGGGACUCCGUCCUCCUCCUCGCCGCCCGGCGCCGCCUCCCCGUCGCCGCCGCUGCAGGGGGGCACCGCAUCCGGCUGCUCCACUCCUUCUCCGGGAGCCGCCUCCCCAGGCGGCCCGAGGUGGUCUGCUGCGUGAGGAGCGCCCCGGAUGCGCGGCCCGCCGGCCCCGUCGCCGUGCGCUCCAGGAACGUUCAUUCGGGGAACAGCUACACAGCGGCUUGUGAGGAGAGACUUGGGCAGCUAGUUCAGAAAUUGAAGAAAGAAGGUAUUCAUCCCAAGCAGUGGAGGCUUGGAAAUUUUCAACGCAUGAUGUGCCCGAAGUGCAACGGUGGAUCUACUGAGGAAAUGAGCCUUAGUGUCUACAUCCGAAUGGACGGUAUGAACGCAACAUGGAAUUGUUUUAGAUCAACCUGUGGUUGGAGAGGUUUUGUCCAGCCUGAUGGAGUUUCCAAGGUAUCCCAAGCAAACAGUGACAUAGGAAGUGAAACUGACCAGGAGGUUGAAGCUAAUAAUGCAGCAAAUAUGGUUUACAGAAAACUCAGUGAAGAGGACCUCAAUCUUGAGCCACUUUGUGAUGAGCUCAUAACGUACUUUUCUGAAAGAAUGAUAUCGGCAGCAACACUUCGAAGGAAUAAAGUAAUGCAACGUAACUGGAACAGUAAGAUAGUUAUCGCUUUCACGUAUAGACGUGAUGGAAUCCUUGUUGGCUGCAAAUACAGGGAGGUCUCGAAGAGAUUUUCACAGGAGGCGAAGACAGAGAGAAUUUUAUAUGGUCUGGACGAUAUAAAGCGUGCACAUGAUGUUAUCAUUGUCGAGGGUGAAAUUGAUAAACUUUCGAUGGAAGAGGCUGGCUAUCGUAAUUGUGUCAGUGUGCCAGAUGGUGCACCACCACAAGUAUCAGACAAACUCCCAAAUAAAAAUCAGGAUAAGAAGUACCUAUAUCUGUGGAACUGCAAAGACUACCUUGACUCGGCAUCUAGGAUAAUACUCGCAACAGACGCUGACCCUCCAGGGCAGGCUCUUGCUGAGGAACUAGCUCGUCGACUUGGUAAAGAAAGAUGUUGGAGAGUCAACUGGCCAAAGAGGAACAAAACAGAUAUUUGCAAAGAUGCGAAUGAGGUACUGAUGUUUUUAGGUCCACAAGCAUUGAAAAAAGUUGUAGAAGAUGCAGAGCUGUAUCCCAUAAGAGGCCUUUUCUCCUUCAGAGAUUUCUUCCCAGAGAUCGAUAAUUAUUAUCUUGGGAUCCGUGGGGAUGAGCUUGGUAUUUGUACUGGUUGGAAAUCUAUGGAUGACAUUUACAAGGUUGUUCCUGGAGAGUUGACUGUAGUAACAGGAGUACCAAAUUCUGGUAAAAGUGAGUGGAUUGAUGCUUUAAUGUGCAAUAUAAACAGCCAAUGUGGGUGGAAAUUUGUUCUAUGCUCCAUGGAAAACAAGGUCAGGGAGCAUGCUAGGAAGCUCUUAGAGAAGCGCAUUAAGAAACCAUUCUUUGAUGCUAGGUAUGGUGGGUCUGUGGAACGAAUGACUCCUGAUGAAUUUCAAGAAGGCAAACAAUGGUUGAACGAGACAUUCCAUUUGAUUCGGUGUGAAGAUGAUAGCCUUCCAUCCAUUAAUUGGGUUCUUGACCUUGCUAAAGCUGCAGUUUUAAGAUAUGGAGUGCGCGGUCUUGUGAUUGAUCCUUACAAUGAACUUGACCAUCAGCGCCCCUCAAACCAAACUGAGACAGAAUAUGUCAGCCAGAUUCUUACCAAGAUUAAGCGCUUUGCUCAGCACCAUUCAUGCCAUGUAUGGUUUGUUGCGCAUCCUAGACAGCUUCAUAACUGGAAUGGUGGCCCGCCUAAUAUGUAUGACAUAAGUGGGAGUGCACAUUUUAUAAACAAAUGUGAUAAUGGAAUUGUCAUCCACCGAAACAGGGAUUCAAAUGCUGGCCCUAUUGAUGUUGUGCAGGUUUGUGUGAGGAAGGUGCGGAACAAAGUGGUUGGGCAAAUAGGAGAUGCUUUCUUGUCAUAUGACCGGGUUACUGGCGAAUUCAAGGACGCUGAUGAAGUCACUGUAGCAGCGGUAACCGCUGCACAAACGAAAAAACACUCACGGAGGAACUUUGAAGGAUCACGCAGCACAUGACAUGGCAUUUCUGCAUUCUAUUGAAGCUUAAACUUCCUUUUUAGAUCAAUCGACACUAGUUAGACGGCAUGGUUGUUACCGGGGAUGGCCCGUUGCAGCUCGCUGUGUCCACUGACUCCUGGUGCCAAUGAGGUUGAAGGAUAACCUCACUCGGAUGACUACAGCACAUUGCUGGGGUGGUGUAUAGUAAGCUUCUUGCAAUUAAUUGCUACACCAGGUUCUGCUUGUGCUAUGAACAUUUUGGUGGGUGGUUCUAUCAGUAGGGAAAUACUGAGUGGUUAGGUUAUAAUUUAUUCGGUGACAGGAUUUGAAGCAACACCUUCCAAAAUUUGUACUCCCUCCGGUUAAAAAUAUAUGAUUUUUUU